CGCAGAAUGUACCUCCUGUUGGACACUCCUGUUGGAUGUUUGCUUGUGUGUUUAUGCUGGUUGUCUCACAGGCUGGUUUGCAGGCUGAUAGUCAAGAGUGGAUAAAGGUAAUUCACAUGAAAGGGAUCUAGUGCAGACCGUGAAGAUGUGUGGAAUUCCAGAUGUGACUGUGUAUUGUGCUUAUGUGAAAAGAUAAAUUAAGGAAAGAUGAAUUGA